rnacentral:rRNA from 1 species
AGAGUUUGAUCCUGGCUCAGAGCGAACGCUGGCGGCAGGCUUAACACAUGCAAGUCGAACGGGCGUAGCAAUACGUCAGUGGCAGACGGGUGAGUAACGCGUGGGAACAUACCUCUUGGUUCGGAACAACACAGGGAAACUUGUGCUAAUACCGGAUAAGCCCUUACGGGGAAAGAUUUAUCGCCGAGAGAUUGGCCCGCGUCUGAUUAGCUAGUUGGUGGGGUAAAGGCCUACCAAGGCGACGAUCAGUAGCUGGUCUGAGAGGAUGAUCAGCCACAUUGGGACUGAGACACGGCCCAAACUCCUACGGGAGGCAGCAGUGGGGAAUAUUGGACAAUGGGCGCAAGCCUGAUCCAGCCAUGCCGCGUGAGUGAUGAAGGCCCUAGGGUUGUAAAGC